UAACCUGCCCUUGACUUUGGGAUAACUUCAGGAAACUGGGGCUAAUACCGGAUAGGAGCUCCUGCUGCAUGGUGGGGGUUGGAAAGUUUCGGCGGUUGGGGAUGGACUCGCGGCUUAUCAGCUUGUUGGUGGGGUAGUGGCUUACCAAGGCUUUGACGGGUAGCCGGCCUGAGAGGGUGACCGGCCACAUUGGGACUGAGAUACGGCCCAGACUCCUACGGGAGGCAGCAGUGGGGAAUAUUGCACAAUGGGCGGAAGCCUGAUGCAGCAACGCCGCGUGCGGGAUGACGGCCUUCGGGUUGUAAACCGCUUUCGCCUGUGACGAAGCGUGAGUGACGGUAAUGGGUAAAGAAGCACCGGCUAACUACGUGCCAGCAGCCGCGGUGAUACGUAGGGUGCGAGCGUUGUCCGGAUUUAUUGGGCGUAAAGGGCUCGUAGGUGGUUGAUCGCGUCGGAAGUGUAAUCUUGGGGCUUAACCCUGAGCGUGCUUUCGAUACGGGUUGACUUGAGG
rnacentral:rRNA from 1 species